UACAGAGGGUGCGAGCGUUAAUCGGAAUUACUGGGCGUAAAGCGUGCGCAGGCGGUUUUGUAAGCCAGAUGUGAAAUCCCCGGGCUCAACCUGGGAAUGGCAUUUGGGACUGCAAGGCUGGAGUACGGCAGAGGAGACUGGAAUUCCUGGUGUAGCAGUGAAAUGCGUAGAGAUCAGGAGGAAUACCGAUGGCGAAGGCAGGUCUCUGGGCUGAUACUGACGCUCAUGCACGAAAGCGUGGGGAGCAAACAGG
rnacentral:rRNA from 1 species